rnacentral:rRNA from 1 species
AGAGUUUGAUCCUGGCUCAGAAUCAACGCUGGCGGCGUGCCUAACACAUGCAAGUCGAACGCGAAAGCCCGCAAGGGUAAGUAGAGUGGCGCACGGGUGAGUAACACGUGGACAACCUGCCUUCGAGUGGGGAAUAACCUUCCGAAAGGAGGGCUAAUACCGCAUAACACCUUGGGACACAAGUUCUGGGGUUGAAAAGAGCAAUUUGCUCGAAGAGGGGUCCGCGCCUGAUUAGCUAGUUGGUGAGGUAACGGCUCACCAAGGCUUCGAUCAGUAGCCGUCCUGAGAGGGAGCACGGCCACACUGGAACUGAGACACGGUCCAGACUCCUACGGGAGGCAGCAGUGGGGAAUUUUUGGCAAUGGGCGAAAGCCUGACCAAGCAACGCCGCGUGGGUGAUGAAGUAUCUUGGUACGUAAAACCCUUUCGGCAGGGACGAACCUAAUGACGGUACCUGCGGAAGAAGCCCCGGCUAACUCCGUGCCAGCAGCCGCGGUAAUACGGGGGGGGCAAGCGUUGUUCGGAAUUACUGGGCGUAAAGGGCGCGUAGGCGGUUGGAUAAGUCAGCUGUGAAAACCACGGGCUUAACUCGUGGCCUGCAGUUGAGACUGUCUGGCUUGAGUGUGGGAGAGGAGAGUGGAAUUCCUGGUGUAGCGGUGAAAUGCGUAGAUAUCAGGAGGAACACCGGUGGCGAAGGCGGCUCUCUGGACCACAACUGACGCUGAGGCGCGAAAGCUAGGGGAGCAAACAGGAUUAGAUACCCUGGUAGUCCUAGCUGUAAACGAUGGAUACUUGCUGUG